UACUAAAGGAGACGACUACUCGAGCUCCUGGACAGGUUUUUUGCCUAUGCGGCUGAAUUGAAGGCGAAGUCAAGUAUCCGAGAUCUUUCACCAGGUUCAGGCAAUAACGAUUGUUUCUACUGAAGUUUAUAGUGGAUUUUUGCAAAAAGCAAGUUUAGACCUUAAAUAGCUUACGUACGCAAUAAUUUAACGACCCCUGAACGAUAAUUACGUUGAUCAAGAAAAUUAGUGAAAUAGGAGCCGUCUAAAUCACGUACACGCAAAAAAAUACACCUAGCUUAGAGACUCGUCCGCGGUAGGUGAAUGAGCGGAAUGCGUGGCGAUCACCUGCGGAGAGUGUAUAGAACAGAAAGCCAAAGGUGACGCCUUGCCCCCAAAAACUAAUCCUGACGCUCUCUCUCGUCUCUGGGAAGGUGACAGGGUAAGGUGCAAAAAACAAACUACAUUACUGUCUAGCAGAAUUACUCUCCCGUCUAGACCUGUGCUGCACGCCUCCCUGCGUCGCCUUAACCAAUUCAUAAGCCACGCCUUGAUUUCAUUCCUCCCGCACUGUGCAACUCGUGGUCACGUGUGACCGGUUCCAACAUGACGUCAUGUCUUACAUCACCCAGAGACGCUCGCCACAGAGGAAGAAACUCGCACACACACACACACACCCUUACACAUACACACGCAGUUAACAGUUUUCUCCAUGCGUGCUGAAUAAGUGAAGUGAAUGUGAAUCCAUGCCGCUUUCGUCGUAUGUACUUCUCAUUGUUAAUUCUGUGACUGUGAAAUCGAAAUCGAUUAAGUAUGGCCGAGGACCCUAACGUUGAAGAAUGGCUGCGAAGAAUUGGACUUACACAGUACGUUGAAACUUUUCAUAGUCAUAAUAUCACAUGGGAUGUACUGCCUCUAAUGACUAUCGAAAAUUCUGCGGAAAUUAUUAAAAACUUUGGCGACCGGCUCCGUUUGGCCAAAGGACUUGAGGAACUGAAAAGUGCCUCUUCAGCUUGUACCUCUGAUGUAAGUAAGAUUUUCAUCUGUGUUUAUUAAGUAGCAGUUU
rnacentral:lncRNA from 1 species